rnacentral:lncRNA from 1 species
AGUUUAGAGGUUAUUAGCAAGCCCACCUAAUCCCCGGUCCAGAACGAUCCCUACUUAUACUUGUACUACAAUUGUCAAAAGAGGGUUAAAUUUGUGUGUUAAGAUAAUUUUCGCAUUAGUUAUGAACUUAUAUUCACAAGUAGUGGAGGUUGCUAGUCACAAUCGUGUUAAUUGAAUUCCUGGCAGGAGUAUCAUGUUGUCAUAGUUACAAAUGCCUUGUCAAUGCUUAUGAUUUUCACAAAGCUUAAUGACCUUUGAUUGUAUCUCUAUUAUGCUGUUCAGGUAGGGAACUAUUAAAGAAUAAUUUGGUUGCCAAUGUGUUGUCCAUCCAAUUCAAUGACUUAAGGAAAAUCCGAGGGUUAAUUAGUGCUAUUCACGGUUAAUCUGGGGCGUUGAGGUUCAUGGCUUAUUGGAAAAGCAACUGGAAAUCGAUUUGUAUGCAAGUGUGUCAUGUGUGGAGAAGAACCCUCUAGCUAGCCAAUCACCCAUAUUUUCCCCCAAAUUCGUGCUAAAUUUGCUUAAGUUUUUAAUUUACUUGUCUUUACUUUAAAUUCAUCAAAAACCCAAUCCCAUUUACUUUGCUAUGUCAAGUUAGUUAGAAUCUAUCCAAUUUGUGUUUUUAAGUGUUUUGAGUCAAGUUAAAAUCAAUUUUCAUCCAAUUCACCCUCUAGUGUCUAGUUUGAGUCUAUUUGAUUGGUUUGUGCUAUUUUGAGUCUUUUUAGUUUGUUUUGAGUUCUUUAAGUCUAGUUAAGUGUUUUCAAAUCUAGUUUAGUGUUUUAAAGUUUAAUUUGUGUAGAUUAGUAGCCCUUCUAAUCCCCAGCCUAAAACGAUCCCUACUUUCAUAUACUACAAUUAUAGGGUUUUAAUUUGAGUGUUAGUUAAAUUUCACAUCAGGGCAUUGGUCGAAGAAUUUCCAAUGACAAAGUUAGAAUUCUGAAAAGAAUGCGUGUAGGAGUUUGUGAGUAGCAAAUGGCUUAGCUUUUUUAUGGGAUAAUAGGGCUAUUUAUAGGGGAGUUGCCGGCCCUAUUUGGAGAGUAGUAGCCAGCCAUAUAUGUUGUAUUUGGAGAAUAAUUGCAAGAUAUUAUGUGAAAUAAUAUCUUGCAAUUAAUGUAAUUAAUCCCAAAUUAAAUAGGAAGUUUUGGGAGUUACCUUUUGAAUAAAGAUUUGAUGAGGAGUGAUAAGAGGGAUUUGAAUAAAUACCAUUUUGAUCACCUUUGACUCUUUCUUGAUUGAGGCCGUUAUUGUCCGUCGCAUGCGAGUGGGAAUGCCGGUAUGCCUCAAGGGUAAUUUUGUCCUUUCAACCUAAAAGUCCAACGUGUCACCUCCAUAAUUUUUUUUAUUAUUUUUGGCUCCACAUGUAGCAGUAAUGGAGGCCAUGAUAAUAGAUAGAGGAUCGUGAAGUAGAUAGAAGAGAAAUAUGGCUGAUACUUUGUGAUUUAUUACUUCUCAAGUUCAUUAAUUGAAUAACUAUUACAACAUAUAGGGAUGUUGACCCUUAACAGUAAACAAGAUAAAAUACACUAUUAUUAAAAAAAUUGAAUAGAGAAUAUGGAAAUCCUAAGAGCAUCUCCGUACGAGUUGUCAAAAAGUCCACAUCAGUAAUAACGUAAAAAAGACAACAAUAGUGUUUUCCAACCGAAAUGUCAAAUCCUAUGUGGCAUGACAUGGAAUGGUAGCAGAAGGAGUUGCUGUCAAAUUUUACAAUAGUGUCAACUCUAUAUUUAGUGAGUAAUAAAUGUUUUGUGAUGUGAUAUAAACUAGAACUCAAAUAAAACCCUCUUAUUGACAAUUGUAGUAAAGAUGUAAGUAGGGAUCGCUCUAGGUCAAGGAUGUUGGAAAUGUGCCCUAAAACCAAUCAUAUGAUGAUACUUUACGGACAUUUCAAAUGUUAAACUAAUCUAGU